rnacentral:piRNA from 1 species
UAUGUGAAUUUCAACUGUUGGCUCCACAGGU